CUUCUUCUGACCUAGACCCCCCCCGCGUUCCACCACUUGGUGGAAAAAUGAAAAAGCUCACCGUCUUCGUUCAUUCUUAGUUUUCCCUCGCCCGACCAAGCAGCUCCUCUUCUUCGCUGCUCUUCCUCCAUCACUGCUCUCUCAUAUCGGUCUACAAAGUACAAACCAACAACCAAAGCAGCCUCUCACCCCGUGCUUUCCCGUACCCAGUGAAAAAAUCAAAACAUCUAUCUCUUUUUUACCUCGCGCUCUCCUGACCUAGAGCAACUAGAGCUAGCUAUCAGAUCGAUUCAUUCCUCUCAUCUCAAAACAAUGAGAGGUUCUUCUUCCCCAGGAGAGACGGAAGCUAGAGACGCACCGCUCAAGCUAGGUUUUGGACACAAAAGAUUCUUCUUCAACCUCUCCUCCAGAUAACUUGGGUUUUGGUUGAGUUCUUCAAUUUCACGAACGAUUCCGAAGUAUUGAUUCACUAUUGUUGGAUGGUAAGCCUCUUUCUCCGAAGUAUUGAUUUGUUUUGGGUUUUAGGGUUCUCUUGGGAUAUUGAUUUGGGUGUUUUUGCUAAUGUCCUUUGCAAUUAGGUUUGGGUGUUUGGGCUUCUAUCGAUUUAGAGAUGUGGGUGACUGAAAUAGAGUUGGGUCUUACUCUAAUUUAGGAAUUUGCUGCUGGGUUUAUGGAUUUGGGGAUGGUUUGUUCUUCAAAUCGAUUUGGUUGUUAUUUGGGUUCAAGGAUUUGGGGAUGGUUUUUUUGACAGGAAGGUAUUUUUAUUGGUAACAGUUUGUCAUUUGUUGGCACCUAGAUUUUUAAACUUCUUAUCUGACUGUUUUUUGGCUUGACUUUUGCAGGUUUUUCAAGCUGAUGUUAAUCUCUUUUUUGAAUCAGUUUGUGGAGAGGUUUGUGAUUUCAGGGGAAAUUUAAAGUUUAUCGUCUGAGGCUGCUGGAAGACUGUAACCUUUUUAAUUGAAAAUGUCCAAGAUAACUAUAUUUGUUUGUUAAUUCAUUGUAUCUGAUGAACUCAGUCUUGGCCUUGACACCUGCUACCAGAGUUUGGAAUGAGAUCCAGAAGUCAUCACUGUCAUUUGUUUGACUUGCAGGAUGGUAGUAUGAGCAACAUUGGCUAUUCUCAGUUGUUCCAAACACCCCUCAAAUUGGCCUACUACUAAUUGACGUUCGGCUGUAUCCUUUAGAUUCUACUCGCAGUCAGACCAUAUUACUAGACCUGCUCCUCUAAUCAUUUGGUACCAAUAGAACAAACAGAGCAAUAACUAAAACUCUGCUCAAUCAGGUACAAUCUCAAAUGUAGUUUUAUAUAGUUUCUUGGCAGGUACAAUCUGUAAUGUUCCUCGGGUAAUUUGUAACAUUAUAUUCAUUUGUUUGGUCAAUCUCUAAUAGCUAUCGUUUGUUAUUAUUCCUGUGUUUUUCAUAUACUCUACAUUUCCUGUGUUAUUAUUCCUUGGGUGAUUCAGGAAGUACUAAAUUUUUCAUGUUGGGUGUUGGGAAUGAGAUACAGAUGUUAUUUACCCUAACAACACCAGUACACUCUGUUAUUUACUUGGUUGAUUGUCUGCUAUUUCUCUUUCUGUUCAAAUUUAACGAUUCAAGGCCAGCUCUUUCUUUUCUUUUACAUCAUUUAUUUUAGAGAGGUUGGAUUAGGGAUGGGAAUGCAAAGGUCCGUAAAUGAUUUGGUGCUUCAGUCAGUGGUCUUUGUAAUGAUGCAGUUCUGACCGUUGACAUAUAUUUUUAAUAGAAAGGCAACUAGCACAAAUAGAUUUUUAUAUUUCUGAAUGACUCUAGCUUCCAUCAUUUUGGUUUUUCACUUUUUCUAUGUUAAAGAAGACAACAUGAAAUACAGAAUUAGAUGAACCGCCUUCUUGGAUGCAACUCUGGUAUCAAGUAUUUUCAAAAUCUCUUCAUUUGCAUUGUGACAUGGUAUCUUUGUACAAUGUAGGUAGAUUGAAAACCAAAAUUUUUACUGGUAUGAUGAUGAUCUCGAGCUUGACAGUCAAUUAUUAAGCUUCAAAGUGAGUGGAUAACUGCAUGCCUUACCAAAUUUUCUAGCCCGUAUGUAUCUGUCUAAGCUUUAAACAUUCAGUACAGAAUGAGAUAGAAUUUGGAUAUAUUCCUUUUUUUUUUUCUCUCCAUUUUCUGGACAUGUACUGUUCUUUCUGUGCGGAUUAUAUAAAACAGUACUGUAUGUGGGGUUAAGCAGUUAUCUGAUCAAGCUUUCUUAUCAUCAUUUCUCUGCAGAUUUGCUACCAUGUUCUUGGGUUGGUUCAUGGAAUCUGGACCCCUAUUCCUCGAACUGCGAGUUUAUGUCUUCUAUUACUCUUAAAAGAUACACUUUAAUCAUUCUCAACAAUGAAGAAGUCUUCGUUGUUUCUUUCCAUUUUGUGAAUGUACAGAUGGUUUCAACAAUGAAGAAGUCGAUCUUUGAUGAACAAACUAACAAGGCCUUAAGGAAAUUGCAAAAGAAUGCUCAAAAGAAGAGAAGGCAUCAUGAUGUGGUUCGAGCUGAAUGGGCAAAUCAUGUUAUACAGUUCGAAUUUUGGUUCUGUUUAAGGUAGAUGAGUAGCACUUGGAACUGUUUUUGUGCAUUCAUAUAUAACUGAUGGAAACUGUUGAUGAACUUAAAUUAUGCAUACUCUCUGUCUAGCUACUCUUUCUUUACCUUAUAGGUUUUUGACUUGGUGCACUAGGUAAAUGAUCGAGAUAAGAUGGUUUUUUGGUUCUCUUGAUCAUAUUGUAACUGUUGGCUAGGUUUAGAGUUGGAACUAUGGAUUGCAUUUUGGAUGAUGUUGAUGCAAUUAAUGAAACGAAGCCAUCAUUUUCAAUGCUGAUUUUAGUCCAAUUUUAUGGUUUUGAUGAUUGUAAAUGACUGAUGUUAAAAUGGUUGAAAGGCAACAGAUAUAUGCAGGUUUAUGUUGUAUCAAGAAAAUACAGCACAAUUUAUGUUGUAUCAAGAAAAUAGAAACAAAUGAUCAUAUGUUGUUUCUACCAAGUUCAAACAACAGAAAAAUAGAGUUCAAAGAGCUCUCAGACAACAGAAGUAGGUGAUUGAUAUGUUGUUUCUACCACGUUCAAACAACAGAAAAGUAGAGUUCAAAUAGCUCUCAGACAACAGAAGUAGGUGGUUGAUAUGUUGUUUCUACCAACUUCAAACAACAUAAUUAUGUUGUUGCAUACGAAAUCAGUCAACAUAUAACUGUCAUUGUUCUUCAAAUCAGACGACAGAAGCAUCAGCUAAGCUUAAUAUUGGUUCAAUCAAACGACAGAAACAACAAAAACUCUGUCAUCUUACAUUAACUACAUCGACAAUUAUUUUUUGAAUCCGUUGAUGAAGUGAAUUUCCAACAACAUUAAUAUGUAGUGGUAUGGUGUUUCAGACGACAGAUAGACUCCGAUUCUUCAAUAUUAGGUACUUCAGACGACAGUACCUUAAACUGAAUCUGUCGUCUGAAUGCAUUAUCAACGACGGAGAAUAUCUGUCGUCUGAAUGGCUUAGAGACGGCAACCACUUAGACAACAGAUUUUUACUUCAUCAGACGACAGAUAUGGUCUGUCGUCUGAAGCAUUUUUUGGCAUAGUGUGAAAGGAAUAUUUAGAAUAUAUAACACUUACAAAGCCAUAAUAUGAAAUAUCAACUAAAUUUUUUUGUUGUAGAACAAUUGAAAUUCUGAAAACACAAGCUUAAGGAAAUGGACUAUGUAAUAAUAUCAACUUGAAGCUCAUGUAAUCGAUUAUCAUGAAUAUGGACUAUGUAAUAAUAUCAACUUGAAGCUCAUAAACUAAACAACUAUCCUAGCUAGGGUAGAAUAUAAAAGCUAAAACAAUAAGACAGAUUUACAAACGAAGACUGAAGCUCAGAUGACAGGUAACUGCAGCAGCAAUUGGGCAGGUACAUAAGUUCAUAUAAAAGCUCCCUAUAUGUUAUGGAUCACAUACCUUCUUUCAUAAUACCAGAUAUUGCUCUCCUCUCUUC